GGGGCCGUAAUGGUUUCGACGGGGAUACGGAGGGGUAAGGAAGCGAGCGGCAGCCCUGUACUGCCUCAUCAACGGGAACUUAAAAUGAACUGACAACUACGAUAACGUAGCUUUCGCGGCUUAAUCCGCGAUCGUCGCCCCUGAGCCUCCUGCGGCGCGGGCAAGCGGCGUCAUAAAUGCAGGGAACCAGCCGGAUUAAGCUUUGCGUCCGGCGGGACUUUAUGAAGCUACUGAAGCCGGAAUCCUGUUCGUUGGGAGUUCGGCGGAGGGAAUGUCAAAACACGAACUGCGCUCGGAGAAACCUUGGUCGUCUGAUCUUCGGACAGGAGUUCGACUCUCCUCGGCUCCACCA
rnacentral:tmRNA from 1 species